GUAGUCAUAUGCUUGUCUCAAAGAUUAAGCCAUGCAUGUCUAAGUUUAAGCGAUUAAACGGUGAAACUGCGAAUGGCUCAUUAAAUCAGUUAUCGUUUAUUUGAUAGUACCUUUACUACUUGGAUAACCGUGGUAAUUCUAGAGCUAAUACAUGCUAACAACCCCGACUGUUUGGAAGGGGUGUAUUUAUUAGAUAAAAAAUCAAUGCUCUUUGAGCUCCUUGGUGAAUCAUAAUAACUUAACGAAUCGCAUGGCCUUGCGCCGGCGAUGGUUCAUUCAAAUUUCUGCCCUAUCAACUUUCGAUGGUAGGAUAGUGGCCUACCAUGGUGGCAACGGGUAACGGGGAAU
rnacentral:rRNA from 1 species